UAAUGAGACAGCUUUUAUCUUACUGCUUUCGUGGAAGAUCAGGUCGCGGUGUGUUCAGCUGUCGGUCAUUUCAAAAGGGAGAUUUUCUUUUUGAGUACAGAGGACAAAUCAUAACUAAAGAGGAACAAGAAAACCGAAUGAAACUUUACCAUGAUGCACUCAAGGUUUUCAUAUUUGAUUUCAAGUUCAAUGGAAAACAGUUAUGUGUUGAUGCUACCAGAGAGGACGGCUCACUUGGCAGACUUGUAAAUGACGAUAAUGUGAAUCCAAACAGUAAAAUGACAGUUACCAGAGUGGAUGGAAGGCCCCAUCUGUUUGUUUGCAAUCAAAGAUAUUUGUCCAGGAGAAGAAAUCACCUAUAACUAUGGUGAUUCCAACUGGCCAUGGAGAAGCAAGAAAUCCAACAUGGUGCCAUCUCAGGCUGUGGAUGAGAAUGCAGCCAGUUCCUCUCCUAACGACACAACAAAGAAAUCCAACAUGGUGCCAUCUCAGGCUGUGGAUGAGAAUGCAGCCAGUUCCUCUCCUAACGACGCAACAAAGGACUGCGAUCAUGAUCUAGUCCCUGACGAAAUGUCAAGUUUAGAAAAAUGUUUUGCAUGUGGAGGACCUUUUUCGCCUCUGAAAUGGAGUGGUGUGAGAUGUGAAGUUUGCUACCAGUCCUGGCACAAAAGAUGUUAUGUUAGCCACAAGGUGAACCUCACUGAACCUCUUCCAGAGGUCUUUAGUGAAGAUAGUUCAAGUGAGGGGGCUUCAUCAGAAGAGGAAUAUGUGCCAGAUUCUAUAGCUGACUCAGACAGCUCAUGGGACAACAAAUCAGAGCCUUUAAAUAUAAGUUGCAAACAAGUACAGAACUCUGAGAUCUCCAGCAGUCAAUCUGCUUGCAAAACGAAAAGACCUCGCCU
ensembl:lncRNA